rnacentral:rRNA from 1 species
GUCCACGCCGUAAACGAUGAGUGCUAGAUGUCGCUGGUAUUGACCCCGGCGGUAUCGCAGCUAACGCGUUAAGCACUCCGCCUGGGGAGUACGGCCGCAAGGCUAAAACUCAAAGGAAUUGACGGGGGCCCGCACAAGCGGUGGAGCAUGUGGUUCAAUUCGACGCAACGCGAAGAACCUUACCUGGGUUGGAACCCCCCGGAAGUCCGCAGAGAUGUGGAUGUGCCCGCAAGGUAACCGGGUGUCCAGGUGCUGCAUGGCUGUCGU